AAACAUCAAUUAAGAGCAAAAUACUUUUAUGCUAACCCCAACAAAGGAACAACAGACGAAGGGUAAUUUAACUGAAUAUUGCUCUUCAGUCUUUAGUAAAUCUUUCACGAAGAAACAUUAAAUAUGGUGGUGCAACAAAGUUUAAAAAUACUAAAUAGAAUCAAACCCAGGCUUCUAUUGGCAAUUUCCUUUGCAACUUAUCAUCCUACAAAUGAACCAAUUUGGCAACGUAUUUUAAUUCGAGCUUCGUACAUAUCAACAAUCUUAUGUUUGAUUUCUACAAUAUUGCAUGUAAAAAACGCAUUUGAAGGACAACUUACGCAAAACAUUGCAAUAUCAUUAAUUUUUGUUACUGGAUGUAUACAAGUACUGUCAAAAAGCAUAUUAGAGCGGUAUCAUCGAAAUGAUGUACUUGAACUACUGGAAAAGGUUCAAUCACUACACAAUUUCGAGAAUGACAACUUAAAUUCUAUUGCAGAAAAAAAUCUAAAAAAGUUCAGAACCAUUUGGAUAAUUUGCCACAAAAUAGAAAAAACAAUACUAACAAUAACUGUGUUUGCCUUUUCAAUUUUUAAUGCUAUUAAUGGAAAAUCUGGAGUAUUUGUUCAAGUACCAUGGAUUCCUACUGACUUUCCCUAUUACACAGAAAUUACAUUAUUCAUACAAUUUCUAUUUGGUGCAUCUGCAACGUCAUCUGUCUUUUUUACAGAUAUGUCCUUAGCUUUUUUCGGUUUUGAAAUUAUGGCAGCAUCAGACAUUCUCUAUGAUUAUAUUUCCGCAAACAAAGAUCGGAUUCAGGAAGAUCCAGACUUUCUCAAAAUUAUUACACUAAAAUACUGUGAUAUCGUGGACAAUAUCAACCGUUUUAACGACAUCAUCUCCUUAUCAAACCUCGUACAAUUUGUAACUAGUGCUUUUCUAAUGUUUGGAGUCUUUUUCUUCAUUCGUUUAAACCCACGAAAUCCAGUUGCACAUUUUAUGGCUACAAAUGUUCUCAUUCAAUUGUUCUUACCUUGUGUAUUUGGGGAAUUCGUUAAAAUCAAAAUGGAAAGGCUAUCGACAACUUUGUAUUUGACUAAUUGGCAUGAUUUCGAUUUGAGAAAUCAGAAGUCCUUUCUAAUUGUCCUGGGAAUGACUCAUGGAGAAUAUGGAUUAAGGGCUGCAGGGAUGUACGAUGUCAAUAUCUACACAUUCAUUAAGAUCGUGAAGAUGGCUUCAUCGUGGUGUGCAUUUAUCUUUACGCUAGAAAUCACCAAUGUUAAUGCAGUUUAAAAAAUAAUGAUUGCUUUAGAAAUUGUUAACACUUGUCACGUAUGAAUUAUAGAGGUUUCAUAAAUAAAAAAAAAUGCAGAAGUGGUAUCACAUUGAGUGCGGGAAAGCACGGUAUCUUAGGACGACUCCAGCUUCGAACAAUUCAUUGCACAGAAAAGAGCUAUAGCUAAAAUCCAUUAAAAUAAUAGAAAAAUGAGUUGUGCCGAGCUUGAGGCGUUCGAAGGUAGCGCGUUUUUCCCUAUUUAGGCUAAGCUAGGAUUCAAAAAGAUCAGUAGUUCUAUCUAGAACGCAGAAUUUCUCACAUUUAGUACUAUUUCACUUAAUAAAUUUUUAAUUGUGCA